GGUACGGGCAGACUAGAGUGCGGUAGGGGAGACUGGAAUUCCUGGUGUAGCGGUGAAAUGCGCAGAUAUCAGGAGGAACACCGGUGGCGAAGGCGGGUCUCUGGGCCGUAACUGACGCUGAGGAGCGAAAGCGUGGGGAGCGAACAGGAUUAGAUACCCUGGUAGUCCACGCCGUAAACGUUGGGCGCUAGGUGUGGGGCUCUUUCCACGAGUUCCGUGCCGCAGCAAACGCAUUAAGCGCCCCGCCUGGGGAGUACGGCCGCAAGGCUAAAACUCAAAGGAAUUGACGGGGGCCCGCACAAGCGGCGGAGCAUGCGGAUUAAUUCGAUGCAACGCGAAGAACCUUACCAAGGCUUGACAUGGGCAGUAAUCCGGCAGAGAUGUCGGGUCCGUAAGGGCUGUUCACAGGUGGUGCAUGGUUGUCGUCAGCUCGUGUCGUGAGAUGUUGGGUUAAGUCCCGCAACGAGCGCAACCCUCGUUCCAUGUUGCCAGCACGUAAUGGUGGGGACUCAUGGGAGACUGCCGGGGUCAACUCGGAGGAAGGUGGGGAUGACGUCAAAUCAUCAUGCCCCUUAUGUCUUGGGCUUCACGCAUGCUACAAUGGCCAGUACAAAGGGCUGCGAGACCGUAAGGUGGAGCGAAUCCCAAAAAGCUGGUCUCAGUUCGGAUCGGGGUCUGCAACUCGACCCCGUGAAGUCGGAGUCGCUAGUAAUCGCAGAUCAGCAACGCUGCGGUGAAUACGUUCCCGGGCCUUGUAC
rnacentral:rRNA from 1 species